rnacentral:misc_RNA from 1 species
UUUCCGUAGGUGAACCUGCGGAAGGAUCAUCAUUGAAUAAACCUGAUGUGGUUGUAGCUGGCCCUUUCGGGAGCAUGUGCACACCCGUCGUCUUUAUCUUUCCACCUGUGCACCUUUUGUAGACCUGGAUGUAACACUUUCCGAGGCAACUCGGUCGGGAGGAAUGCUGUCAGCUUUCCUUGAAUGUCCAGGCCUAUGUUUUCAUAUACCCCAAAGAAUGUAACAGAAUGUAUUAUUGGGCCUUGUGCCUAUAAACUAUAUACAACUUUCAGCAACGGAUCUCUUGGCUCUC